UCCUACGGGAGGCAGCAGUGGGGGAUAUUGCACAAUGGGCGAAAGCCUGAUGCAGCGACGCCGCGUGAGGGAAGACGGUCCUCUGGAUUGUAAACCCCUGUCCUCAGGGAUGAAAAUGACGGUACCUGAGGAGGAAGCUCCGGCUAACUACGUGCCAGCAGCCGCGGUAAUA
rnacentral:rRNA from 1 species